rnacentral:rRNA from 1 species
UAUCACUAAGCGGAGGAAAAGAAACUAACCAGGAUUCACCUAGUAACGGCGAGUGAACGGUGAUUAGCCCAGCGCCGAAGCCUGCAUCUGGUUUGGGUGUAAGGCAAUGUGGUGUUUAGGUGAUCAUCUGUUGAUGCCUCUACUGUUCCAAGUCCAGUAAUGAAUAUGGCUAUAUUAAUGGCCCAGAGAGGGUGAAAGGCCCGUGGGGGCAGUAUGGUGAGGUAUUAACUUGUGAUCUACUUUGGAGUCGGGUUGUUUGUGAAUGCAGCCCAAAUCGGGUGGUAGACUCCAUCUAAGGCUAAAUACUGGCACGAGUCCGAUAGCGAACAAGUACCGUGAGGGAAAGUUGAAAAGAACUCUGAAGAGAGAGUAAACAGUACGUGAAACCGCCUAGAGGUAAACGGGUGUAGUCAAGCUGCAAGCCCUAUGGGGAUUCAAUCGAUCAGUAUGACGUGAGCAUGAGCACAUUAGUUGGCUUGUAAAGUUUGCCUAGACUGGUGAGCCUAAUUCUAUGUAGGAUUGGGUAUUUGUGUGGCAUAUGGUUACUGGAUGCUUUACUCGACCCAACUACUGAUCGGUGCACUUCCUCAGGGUGUAAGCCACGACCGCCGUUGCUGCCGGUCUGCUGAAAUCAACCGAUUUGAUUUAAAUUGCAAAACAAUUUGAUUAAAUUGGGAUGGCAGGUAAUUUGAUGCUGCAUGUCUCCUGUAGGCAUUGUAAUGUUAAAUGUUAUAGCCGAUUUCAGUGGCUAUUAAAACUGUACAGUACGGUGGAGAUAUAUCGACGUGUUGGGAAAUGGUAAAUGCGCUAUAGUCUGCCGGCAUGUAAUAAAUUUGAUUAUUUGUCGUCGAGGCUUCGACCUUCGACCUGAUAAUGGUUUAUUCAUGGUGUUGUGGACGGCUGCUUUUGUGUAUUCCAAUUCUAUUGACACUGCGGACUGUUAAGUUUGCAUUUAGUUGAUAGUUGAAAUUAUCGUCUAUAGUCUGUGGCGUAGUGGUAGACGAUCCACCCGACCCGUCUUGAAACACGGACCAAGGAGUUUAACAUGUACGCGAGUCAAUGGGUGUGAAUUACACGGUACACGAAACCCAGAGGCGUAGUGAAAGUAAAGGUUUUGAUGCUUACAAAUGUGUUAUAUUUUAAUUGAUAUGAAUGUAACAGUUUAUAUCUGAUCGAAUAUAUGCCUUAUUUGCUAGGCAUCAUACUGAGGUGAGAUCCCAUUGGUACCUAGGCUGAUCUGAUCAUGCAUUAGACCGAUAGGCGCAUCACCGGCCCGUCCCAUGGUGUAUUUCACCGGGGCGGAGCAAGAGCGUACAUGUCGAGACCCGAAAGAUGGUGAACUAUGCUUGCGCAGGUUGAAGCCGGAGGAAACUCUGGUGGAGGACCGUAGCGAUUCUGACGUGCAAAUCGAUCGUAUGACGUGAGUAUAGGGGCGAAAGACUAAUCGAACCAUCUAGUAGCUGGUUCCCU